GUCCCUGUAGCUCAGCCCGGAUAGAGCGUCGGCCUCCGAAGCCGGAUGCACAGGUUCAAAUCCUGUCAGGGACA
rnacentral:tRNA from 1 species